CAGUUAAGCAAAUUGCUCUGUCUGUGACUUACAGGAUGAAGGAAUUAGAUGCCUGUCAAGGAGAUUCGAAAGAAAGUACCUCAUUACUCCAUUAGACUUGAACUUUGCUUGCUCCAGCACUUAAGAAAAUCUCAUUCAAGAAAGACCUUAUUGGAUUUACCCAGAGCAAUGCUUUCCGAACUUCAGGUUAUUUUGAGAAUGUCUUCAAAAUUCCCAGAGUACAAAGAGACUGGAAAGGCAAAAGGAGCUAGAAGGUCAAGGAAAGCCCACCAGAAACCUUUGAUGGAUUGCUGAAUAGCCAACCCCCUGGGCCACAGGGUGGAGAAAACUGCACUGGACUAAGUCCUUGCCUUUGAGAAGUCCUGCUUCAACUGGACCCAAUCAGGAUAAGGUUUCUGGCUGCCAGUGAUGAAGCUGGAUCCUAUUUCCUUGCUGACGCCUACGGCUUCCUGCCAGUUACUAUUAAAAGAUUCAGCAAAGAAUGAAGAGAGGAAAGAUUAAGGGAGAGACAAUGCACCUCUUCAAUCAACCAAUGGUGUUCAUUGAGCACUGUA